GUGCGCCUUAGGUGUGCGUAUGUCUUAUCAAUGUCUAACCUACAGAUUUUCUAGGGAAUCCGAUUUGAUUUCGGUCAAAGUGAAACACUUCGGUGAACGCGGAAGCCGAACUUAGGGUACCCACCUGCUUUACGCAGGUAUAGACAUAUAGGACGUACGGCAUUUCAGACCCCUC
rnacentral:other from 1 species